CCUACGGGUGGCAGCAGUGGGGAAUAUUGGACAAUGGGGGGAACCCUGAUCCAGCGACGCCGCGUGAGUGAAGAAGUAUUUCGGUAUGUAAAGCUCUAUCAGCAGGGAAGAAAGAAAUGACGGUACCUGACUAAGAAGCCCCGGCUAACUACGUGCCAGCAGCCGCGGUAAUACGUAGGGGGCAAGCGUUAUCCGGAUUUACUGGGUGUAAAGGGAGCGUAGACGGCGAUGCAAGUCUGAAGUGAAAGGCGGGGGCCCAACCCCCGGACUGCUUUGGAAACUGUAUGGCUGGAGUGCAGGAGAGGUAAGUGGAAUUCCUAGUGUAGCGGUGAAAUGCGUAGAGAUUAGGAGGAACACCAGUGGCGAAGGCGGCUUACUGGACGGUAACUGACGUUGAGGCUCGAAAGCGUGGGGAGCAAACAGGAUUAGAUACCCUUGUAGUC
rnacentral:rRNA from 1 species